UGAGAUAUAGUAGUGUUCAUUUAACACUCAGCUCAGAGUUUAAUUGGGUUGCUUAAAAUGACUUAAUGACUUAACCCCAUGUUGAAGUUACAAGAACAAAUUAUGUUUGUUUAGUGUAACCCAGUUACAGUAUGUGGAACCUGUUGACAUUAAAAAAAAGUAAAUGUAUGGAACCUGGUUACAUUAAAAAGUUAAGUAAAGCCAACAUAAACAUUUUUUGAGUGUAAAAAGUGAAAUGUGUAAUAAACAAAAUGUUAAACUGUUUGAAAUGAAAUGCAUUAAUGUGAACUCAUGAAUAAAAAUUUUAAUUAAACUGUUUGAAAUUAAAUUUAAACUGUUUAACACUCAUACAUGAGAAUUUAAAUUAAACGGUUAGAAAUAAAAUGUUAAACAGUUUGAAAUAAUGAAAUUAAAUGACUACGUAUACAGUAUUUUAAAUAAAAUGAAAAGUUAGAGGGUUUUUAACCAAUGUUUUGACAAAUCAUUUCUGCACUGAUCAGCAGAUAGGUUAGGGUUAGUUUUUGCCAUAUUUUCAAGAUUUUGCAAGGUUUUAUAAUAUAUUUAUUGUGUUAAUAUGCCAUAAUAUCUUCACUUAAGAACUUACUCAUAUAAGAAUGUUGUGGUUGAAGGUUAAUAAAUACAGUUGAUUGAAGUGUGGUCAAAAUUUUGUUUUGGCUCUCCUGUAAAGUUUGUUAAAUGGCCACUUACGCCCCUCUGGUUCCAAGCCCUCGAUAUACUAUAUUAUUUUAGAUAUAUUUAGAUAUAUUUUACCCAGCAAACAAGUUUCUCUCUCAAAGUUAUGAACAAACAUUUUCCCAGUAACAUUAAUAGACUGUUCGUUCAAUGUUAUCUGUUUUUUUUAAUAAUGUUCUUAAAACAUUAGAAAUACUCUGAAAGUCAGGCCGUUAUCAUCAUGCUUUACUGCACAUGUGAUUUACUGAAUGCUGGUUCGUUUGCAUUUGUACUGUAUGUUCAUAAUUGUGUUCUUGAUGAAUUUUCUUGUGGUUCUCUCUCCGUUGCAUUGCUGUAAUAUUUAUGUCCACUAUGUGGCGCUGAUGUAGAGCAGUAGAAGAAAGAGAUAUAGUUGAGUAAAGUAAAUGCUUGUGUCCAUCAGCUUUCUAUCCAUUCCUUCUUCAACAUUACAUUUCUCUGAUUAAUAAACACAUACAGUGUAAUAACACACACUCUAUGAUUGACACUUCUCUUCUUUUGAUCAUUAACAGUGGAAAAGUGCACAUGUUUAGUUUGUGAUGAAAAAUUCAGUCACACUCAAUAUGGACCCCACAGUGUUUAAGGUUGUAAGGUGCACCAGUGAUAGAAACUUGUGUAUGCUGUAAUUCCAGUCGAAGGAGAGGGACCAGUACGGAAUAGGACCGAGCGCAUGCUCCAGUUCCUGUGAUGGAAACAGAUGAUUUAGGACUUCCCAGUCAAAGUACUGAACUUGAUAUGGAGAGUCCUAACUGUUCUUUUGUGUUUUCCGAUUGUCACCUCGAUAACCCUGUGUUUCCUGCACAUUCCUCAUUGGAGGGCCAGCAGAUGUGGCCAGUCUGAAUGUACGGGUUAAAAAGAAACUGGACGGCAAGAAGAGUUGAGGAGAACUUCAAGAGGGACAGCAGGCCUCCAUUCUAAUCCACAUCACUUGCCACGAUCGAGUUGUCCAUUAGAAACAGAGCUGUAAUGGUGUUGGCAUGUGGACAGGUGUUCGCAGGCGGUUGCACUCGAGGGACAGUGGGCGCACGUGUGGUGUUUACUUUUAGUGGAUGCAGUGGUGAAUGAAUUGUUUGUUUGGAGUAUUAUGUAUUUCUUCACUCCACUUGUACCUCAGUGUACUGCCUGGGUAGGUUUAUGUUGUUCUUUUAUUUAUAAGAUUUCUGUCCAUGCCCAUAUGGAAGGGACUUUCUUAAAUAAAACUGCUGUGUAAAAGCGUUUAUAUCAGA